rnacentral:misc_RNA from 1 species
GAUGAAGAACGCAGCGAAAUGCGAUAAGUAGUGUGAAUUGCAGAAUUCAGUGAAUCAUCGAAUCUUUGAACGCACAUUGCGCCCCUUGGUAUUCCAUGGGGCAUGCCUGUUCGAGCGUCAUUUGUACCUUCAAGCUUUGCUUGGUGUUGGGUGUUUGUCUCGCCUCUGCGUGUAGACUCGCCUUAAAAUAAUUGGCAGCCGGCGUAUUGAUUUCGGAGCGCAGUACAUCUCGCGCUUUGCACUCAUAACGACAGCGUCCAAAAGUACAUUUUACACUCUUGACCUCGGAUCAGGUAGGGAUACCCGCUGAACUUAAGCAUAUCAAUAAGCGGAGGA